GCCGUUAACAGCGCACACGAGCACGGAUUCGUUUAUCCACCUGCUUUCAUAAAGUGUCAUUAAUGAAAGGAACGUUGCAAAUGUAUAACCUGUGGUGUUUAAAACACUUACGGUUGUUGACCGCUCCUGUGACAGUGCAAAGUAUCUUACAAACAAGUUUAACGGAAAAUGAAAAGUCAAAUGCAUCAAGCACAGUGAUGCCCAUACCAGAUGACCUACAAA